UGCGCAGGCGGAAUAAUAAGUCAGUGGUGAAAGCCUACAGCUUAACUGUAGAACUGCCAUUGAUACUGUCAUUCUUGAGUAUUGUUGAGGUAGGCGGAAUGUGUCAUGUAGCGGUGAAAUGCUUAGAUAUGACACAGAACACCGAUCGCGAAGGCAGCUUACCAAGCAAUAACUGACGCUCAUGCACGAAAGCGUGGGGAUCAAACAGGAUUAGAUACCCUGGUAGUCC
rnacentral:rRNA from 1 species